rnacentral:rRNA from 1 species
GUUUAUUAGCUUCUGGUAAUAUGUUGGCUAUAUAUUUAAAAAAUACAUGGUAUUAAAAGAGUUGGAGAGAGGAUGGUAUCCCUUUUGUUUAAUAGUUUAAAAAGAUUAAAUAGGAGGGGUGUAAAAUCGAUUAGGUGGUUUAUAAUAGGUUAAUUAGUAUCUCUACUCCAGUAGUUAGAGUUGAUUAAUAAUAUAGAAAUAUAGAUUAAGUAAUUUAUAGAAGGGGAGAAUAAUAAAGUGCCAGCAUUCGCGGUCAGUCUUUAUACCUCAAGUUAAUAAUUUCGUAAAAGAGUAAGGUUAUAAAAUAAAGUAUUGAUUUUAAUUUAUGGCGGUUAAAUGCAUUGUAAUUUUAAAAUUAAGGGCUACUUUAAAGCCUAAUCUGUGAAGGCUGUAACAAAGACAAGGAUUUGACACCCUUUUAUUUAUGCUGUCAUGUAAUUUACGGGGACUACGGGCCAUGAUUGCUUAAAACUUAAAGAAGUUGGCGGUGCUCUACAACCAUUAAGGGGAACUUGGCGAUUAAAUUGAUGAUCCUCAAAUUACCUUACCUUUAGUAGUCUUUAUAUACCGCCGUUGAAAGGUGAUUUUGAAGAAAAAAGAUACGAGCGUGAUGUAUAUUUUAAUUAGUUUAUACAGGAAUUCAGGUACACGUAUAGGAUCUAGAGGGUUUAGCUGAGUUACAAUUAUAAAAUAAAACGAAUUUAUUAAUGAAAUAUUAAAUGGAAGGUGUACUUAUUAGUAAAUUUUUAUAAGAGAGGAAAGUUGAAUAGGGUAAUUGGAGUGCGUACAAAUCGCCCGAUACCCUACGUAUUUAAAGUCGAGGUAAGUCGUAACAUAGUAAUGCUAGUACAAAUUGGUAUUAU